AAAUUUGAGUAAAAAACGCGGUGUGAUUCAGUGUGAUCAGGCAUUAAAGUAAAUGGCUUGAAAUUAAAUGUUAGUUGUUAAUGAGUUAGAAGUUAGUAUUGUUUUUUCUUUUUUUGUUUUAAGUCAUUCUUUGGAGAACACUCAAGCCACUUAUCACAAGCAUGGAUCCUUGAGCCAAGACAUCUUCCAAAGGAAGGAAAGAAG
rnacentral:lncRNA from 1 species